rnacentral:lncRNA from 1 species
UUGAUUAAUUGAUUAUUAAAUUGACUGUUUGCUAAAAUGGAAGUGAAUUACUCUUGUGUUUGGAAAAUUAAUUCCCUACAGGUGAUUAUUUUCUUUUCAGUGUACAUUAGUCAGCAUAAAUGCAAUAUCACCCAGAGAUACAUGACUACUUAUUCCCUUUUAUGAUGUGAGAGAACACUCAAUUUUGAGAGAACACUCAAUUUUGAGAGAACACUCAACCUGACUGAAGUAGUGUUUGGAAGGUGUGGGACCAAAUUCGAGCUGGCUUUUGAAAGAUACCUCCAUGGUUCCCAUUGAAAAUAGUCAGUUUGGGAUUAAUUUGGAUACACUAUUGCCUCUACAGAGUCCACCUGUUCCUUUGCUUCAUUUUGGCCCUGGUGAAACUCUUCUUCCAGGUACAGACAACUUGACAGAGCAAUAAGAUCCUAGACUCCGGAAUCAGACAGAACUGGAUGUCAGGACCAACCCUGUCUAUUUUAGCACUGUGACCCUCAAAAAGCCAUUUGAAUGAUGUCAGACUGUUAUUUCAAUGAAAAAAUUAAUAAUUUACUUGAUAAUUCUGACCUCACAAGUAUAUUAUGAAAAUAAAAU